UACGUAGGGUGCGAGCGUUAAUCGGAAUUACUGGGCGUAAAGCGCGCGCAGGCGGCCUUUUAAGUCUGCUGGUGAAAUGCCGGGGCUCAACCCCGUGCCCGCCGCAGAUACUGGGAGGCUGGAGACGAGUAGAGGCAAGCGGAAUUCCGGGUGUAGCGGUGGAAUGCGUAGAGAUCCGGAAGAACACCGGAGGCGAAGGCGGCUUGCUGGGCCCGGUCUGACGCUGAGGCGCGAAAGCGUGGGGAGCGAACAGG
rnacentral:rRNA from 1 species